rnacentral:ncRNA from 1 species
AAACUGAAAAGGCAAGCUAAUUGAAAGAUUAGUACGCAAAGUUAUGGGCCUAAGGUGUUCACACUACGGCGGCCAGACCGCCGGA